GAAGAACAACGAGGCAGUCGUUUCGCGUGGUUAAAAAGCCAAACCAAACUUCAAGUUCACGAGCUGGAAAAAUCCGGGCUUGUUCGGUUAAUCCCCUCCCGAUGGGAGGAGACAAACCUUCUAAUAUAUGUGGCUCCCGGUGAAAAAGGAAUUAAAUUUAUGGGAUCAAGGACUCGGCUGGUAAUUACAGUCCGAAUCAUAUACAAGUACUAGAGUCCUACUAGAGUCCCCUCUCUAAAAACAUGUCAUUUGAGUGAUUUGGAUGCUCCUCCAAUCCCAUCACGAAUAAGAAUAUUUUUUCAGCCCCCAAUACUCUAGCUCCCUCAAACC
rnacentral:lncRNA from 1 species